rnacentral:lncRNA from 1 species
AUUUUCUCUUUGUGGAGGCUGGGUUCGCGUGCUCUUCUGAGCUGUGGUCGUCAUGGACCGGAAGCGUGUGCGGCGCGCCUGCCUUGAGGCCAGCAUCAGGGAAGGGUGUCCCAGGUGCAGGCGAAGCUUCCUUCAGGUGCUCCUGGAGGACUUUUGGCUCGCAAGCGCUUCUCCAUUCUCCCAACGUCUCGGGCCUGGAGGUGAAGUGAAAUCUGCAAGAGUCCUGCUCGUUCAAGGCCUGCAUACAGGAAAGAAGCAGGGGAAAAGCGUUAGAAACAGCUUUUGUUCUACAGCAUUUUAAAAUAUAAUAGGUAUAUUGAAAAGUCUGAUUCAGUUACAAUCAGUGUAUGGAAUCACAAGAAGAUCCAUAAGAAACAAGGUGCUGGAUUUCUCCGUUGUGUUCGUCUUUUUCCAGUGCCAUCAACCACCUCAAAGACACUGGUUAUCAGAGGUUGGAUUUAUGCAAACUUGGGCCAAAGGACAGUUAGAAGACAGUAGCUGAAGAAGCAUCUGUAGGGAAUCCAGAAGGAGCAUUCAUGAAGAUGUUACAAGCCCGGAAGCAGCACAUGAGCACUGAGCUGACUAUUGAGUCGGAGGCGCCCUCAGACAGCAGUGGCAUCAACUUGUCAGGCUUUGGGAGUGAGCAGCUAGACACCAAUGACGAGAGUGAUGUGAUCAGCUUGAAAUUCAGCUAACCGAGCAGCUACGGUCCCUCAUCCCCAACGAGGAUGUGAGAAAGUUCAUGUCUCAUGUUAUCUGGACCUUGAAAAUGGAAUGUUCAGAAACACAUGUGCAAGGGAGCUGUGCCAAGCUCAUGUCGCGAACAGGCCUCCUGAUGAAGCUUCUCAGCGAGCAGCAGGAAGCAAAGGCAUUGAAUGUAGAAUGGGAUACGGACCAACAAAAAACAAAUUAUAUUAAUGAGAACAUGGAACAGAAUGAACAGAAAGAGCAGAAGUCAAGUGAGCUCAUGAAAGAAGUUCCAGGAUAUGACUAUAAGAACAAACUCAUCUUCGCAAUAUCUGUGACUGUCAUACUAAUAAUUUUGAUUAUAAUUUUUUGUUUUAUAGAGGUAAAGACAAUAAUUAAUUCAGGUUUUCAAAAUACAAUCCUGUGUUUGUGUGGAUUCAGAAUCCACAAACUGAAAACCAACGUCACUUUCCCACUUGACAUUCUUCUUCUGUCAUUUAAGGCUGAGGUGUGCUUUGUUCUUUUACUGCAAUGUAUAUUCCAGGAUUGUUAAAGGAUCCUCGCUUCCAGGAGGUCUCUGUGAAAUAAAACCAAGUUAAUCCCACUAGACUAUUUUAAGAAGUUAAGUUGAUAUAAUAGCAAAAUUUCUCCCACCCAAAACUAUGUCAACAAUUGGAUGUACUCACUGAGUCACCCCUUACUCUGCCACUAAUUUAUUUCCUUGUUGCUUAAAUGAUGAGAGACAUAUAAUCUCCACCCUCACGGAGUUGUCAUCACCCUGGAGAGGAAGAAGACAGCCAAAAGAGAGAAGUAUUGUCUUGUAGACUUACUAGAUUCACAUAGUAUCAUCCUUCUCCAGUGUGUAAGGUGUUGUCUAAAUAGGUCCAGUUAAAGAACUACAGGGUAGCCAUUUUUAAAAAAAAAUUUUGGCCACGUUUUCAAAUUCACAGGGGAGGGGGAAUGUCUCAUACUCCAGCCCUCCUGAGCCUAGGCCCUCUGUGAGAUGUGUCACCAUUUCUUGGACACCAUAUGAGACAUUCCCCCUCGGAUUAGAGAUGCUCAACCUGCAUCAACAAAUCUAAAGCCUGCAUCUGGCUACCCUGGGGCGAGUCCUGUUUACAGUGCCUAUUCCUGGAGCUCGCCUCUUUUUGCCUUUUGUUUGAUUAUGUGAUGUAUUACUUUUCCCAGCAGGCCAGUGCUAGCAUACUGGAAGAGGGAUUUAAUAAGCUGGCACCCUUGAUGCUAUGCUCCUAAUCCAACCUUAUUUGCCUCAUUGGCCAUUUCCAUUAUGGUGGCAGCCCUCCAUUCCAGCCACAGCAGCCCCUCAGCGUCCCCCAGUCACACUGUCCCCAUUGCUGCUCAUCUGUGCCUUUGUCCAUCUACAAUGCCCUUAUUUCACUCUGCCUGUGGGAGUCCUGUGAAUCUCUCCAAAGCCAACUCAGUUCAUCUUUCUGCUUGAAACCUUCCCUGAAUAGGCCAGGUGCGGUGGCUCACGCCUGUAAUCCCAGCACUUUGGGAGGCCAAGGCAGGCGGAUCACAAGGUCAGGAGAUCGAGACCAUCCUGGCUAACACAGACCAUUCUCUACUAAAAAUGCAAAAAAUUAGCUGGGUGUGGUGGCGGGCGUGUGUCGUCCCAGCUACUUGUGAGGCUGAAGCAGGAAAAUGGCAUGAACCUGGGAGGUGGAGCAUGCAGCCAGCCAAGAUCGGGCCGCUGCACUCCAGCCUGGGGGACAGAGCGAGACUCUGCCUCAAAAAAAAAAAAAAAAAGAAACUUCCCUGAAUAUUCCAGCCCUCCUGAGCCUAGUCCCUUUGUGAGAUUUGUCCCCAUUUCUUGGACACCAUAUAAGAGACUUCAGAGGCUGAAGUGGGAGGAUUGCUUGAGCCUGGGAGGUCGAGGAUGCAGUGAGCUGUGGUCAUACCACUGCACUCUAGCCUGGGCAACAGAGCGAGACCUUGUCUCAAAAACAGCCACCACCAAAAACUAUCUUGGGAUUUGAAUAGGAUUACCUUAAAUUUGUAGAUUAAUUUGAGAAUUGACAUCUGUACGACAUUCUAGAACAUGGUAUUUCAUGUCAUGUAUUCAUUUCUUGUUAAUGUCUUUCAGAAGAGUUUUAGGGUUUCCAUCAUAUAGAUCUUACACGUCUUUUGUUAGAUAACAGAUCUUUGUAUUUUUGUUCCUAAAUACUUCAGACAUUUGUAUUGCCAUUGUAAAUGGGAUCUUUCUUCCAUUUUCUAGUUAGUUAUUGGUGGUACAUCUGAAAAGCAUUUGAGGUUUGUGUGCUGCUCUCUUGAUUUUGUUUCUAGCCACCGUACUGAAUUCUCAUAUUACUUCCAGUAAAAUCUUAGUUGAUUCUCUUAGGCUUCUUUGGCUAACAUUUAUUAUUUUAUAUGCAAAUAAUUAUAGUUUUGUCUCUUCCUUUUCAAUACUUACACUCUUUCCUUCCUUUCCUUUCUUUUUUUUUUCUUUCUCAGGGCCUUGUUGUCACCCAGACUGGAGAGCAAUGGUGUGAUCUAGCUCACUGUAACCUCAAACUCCUGGGCUUAAGGGAUCCUCCUGCCUCAGCUUCCUGAGUGGCUGGGACUACAGGCAGGCAGUGAAUUUUAAAACUUUUGGUGUAGAGACAAGAUCUUGCUAUGUUGCCCAGGCUGGUUUUCCUGCCACUUUAGAGCAGGUUUCCUUUUUUUCAUACUUUUAAGAGGUUUUUAUUAGGAAUUGUCCAUUGAAUGUUAGCUAAAACAGUCAAUAAAAUGCGUUAAGUACCAGCUACAUGCAAGACCCUAAGUUAGAUACAGUCAGCCCUCUUCAUCAGCAGGUCCACAUCUUCAGAUUCAACUAGAUAAGGCUGAAUAUUUGAAGAAAAAAACAAUAAAAAUACAAUUAGAAAGUACAGUAUAACAACUGUUGCCAUGAUACAAUAUCUAUACAUUUUAUUAGUGAUGACCUAAAGUUCAUGGGACCAGGCACGGUGACUCACACUUGUAAUCCCAACACUUUGGGAGGCCAACCUGGGCAGCAUAGUGAGACCUUGUCUUUAAUAAAAAUAAAAAUAAAAAAAUUAGCUAGUGUGGUGGUAUGCACCUGUAGUCCCAGCUACUCAAGAGGCUGAGGUGGGCAGAUCACUGGAGCCCAGGAGGUUGCGGCUGCUGUGAGCUGUGAUUGUGACACUGCUCUCCAGCCUGAGUGACAGAGGGUGAUCCUGUCUCUAAGUAAGUAAAUAAAUAAAGUAUAUGGGGGGGAUGUGUGUUGGUUAUAUGCAAACACUGCACCAUUAUACGUAAGGGAUUGAGCAUCCACAGAUUCUGGUAUGGUGUGGAGGCGAUAUCCUAGAACCAGUCGUCUGCAAGGUAGCAAGGAUGACUGAACUGUGGAAGAAUCAAAGCACUGUUAAACAGCAUACAAUUCCUGUCUUCAAAAAAGUUAUCUCAUCGGGUAGAUGAGACUUAAAAUGAAUAAAAGGAAUGAAUACACAUUGGAGAUAGUGGUUGUUGUGAUAGAUAACCUUAAUUGUGUUUUCUUCCAAAACGGGUGAAUUCACAUAAAAGGGCAUCAGAAAAAUACAAAGACAACCCAUCAAUAUCAGGAGCCUGAGCAUGAGUUAAAGCAUGUGGAUGGCCUAGAGCCAUGUUUUUAAAAUUGUUAUUAAAUAUUGGUUUUUUACUUAAAUCAAUGAAAACUUUCUUUACUUUGUGGUUGUGUUCCUCAAAAUGAGAAUUUUUAACAAUAAUAAAAAUAAAGCUUAUUAGAUCAUUUUUAAUGGUAAUAAAUUGGUUACUGAAGAUUUGACUAAAGAGAAAACUAGGCCAAUCUAAGUAGAGUCCAAAUGAAGUAGAAAGUCCAUAGAGAACAGGCAAAAAGGAAGUUGUGGAACCACAGACAGUAAAAGGAAAAAAUUGGCGGGGCGCAAUGGCUCAUACCUGUAAUCCCAGCACUUUGGGAGGCUGAGGUGGGUGGAUCGCUUGAGCCCAGUUCAGGCAACAUGACAAAACCCCCACCUCUACAAAAAAAAUAGUCAACAUGACAAAACCCCCAAUGUCUACAAAAAAAUACACAAAACAUAUGAGCCAGGGGUGGUGGUGUGCACUUGUAGUCCUAGCUACUUGGUAGGCUGAGGUGGGAGUAUCGCUUGAACCUGGGAGGUGGAGGUUGCAGUAAGCUGAGGUUGAGCUGUUAUACCCCAACCUGGGUGACAGUUGAAAGAGUGAGACCCUGUCUUUAAAAAAAAAAAAAAAAGGAAGAAAGCAAAGAAAAAAAAAUUUAUUUUUGUGACAAGUUCUCUUUCUGUCUCCCAAGCUGGAGUGCAAUGGCAUAAUCAUAGCCCACUGCAGCCUCAAACUCCUGGGCUCAAGGCAUCCUCCUGCCAUAAAGGCCUCCCAAAGUGUUGGGAUUACAGGCAUAAGCCACUGUGAGGCUAGAUUUUUUUUUUUUUUUUUUUUUUAAGCAAGGUUUGGCUCUGUCACCCAGGCUGGAGUGCAGUGGUGCAAUCUUGGCUCACUGCAACCUCUGCCUCCCAGGCUCAAGUGAUCCUCCUGCCUCAGCUUCUCAAGUAGGUGGAACUACAGGCACGUGCCACCAAGCCUGGCUAAUUUUUGUAUUUUUUGUAAAGAAGGGGUCUUGAUACGUUGCCCAGGCUGGUCUUAAAUUCCUGGGUUACAGUGAUCCACCCACCUCAGCCUCCCAAAGUGCUGGGAUUACAGGUGUGAGUCACCACGACUGGCCAAAAAAAGUUAAGUGUUAAAAUCAAAAAGAAAAUUCACCAAGCCAUUUUGCAUAUUUUUCUGGAAAGAUACAGAUACAUAUAUAUACAUAUAUAUAGAGAGAGAGAGAGAAAGAGAGAGAGAUCUGGACUGGACACCCUAUACUAUCAGUUGGGUACAACUUUGUUUCAGAAAGGACAAAGGGAACUGAUUAGAGUUAAGGCACAUAUAUGUGUGUGUGUGUGUGUGUGUAUUUUCCCAAUUCCUCAUACCACUCCUUUUUAUUAAUUUUUAUUGAGAUAUAAGUUAUACACCAUAAAUUCACCCUUUUAAAUAAGUGCAGAAUUUAGUGGGUUUUAGUAUAGUAUUCACAAGGCUGUACAGCCAUCACCACUAUUUAAUUCCAGAACAUUUUCAUCACCCCAGAAAGAAGCCCCAGAAUCACUGGCCCUGCUCCCCAUUUCCUCUCCUAUUUCCUGGCAAGUAUUUACUUCCUAUGAAUUUGCCCAUUUGGGACAUUUCAUAUAAAUCAUACAAUACAUGAUUUCACUAAAUAAGACUUUUGUGUGUGGCUUCAAACAAUUUUUAAAAAUUGAGGUAAAGUAGGCAUAAUAUAACAUUUACAGUCUAACCACUGCCCCCUCUCCCCACCUAUUUUUUGAGACAGGGUCUCACUCUGUCUUCCUGGCUGGAGUGCAGUGGUGUGAUCAUGACUCACUGCAACCUCAGCCUCCCCGGGGCUCAGGUGAUCCUCCCACCUCAGUCUCGCAAGUAACUGGCACCACAGGCACACACCACCAAACCUGGCCAAUUUUUGCAUUGUAGAGACAGGAUUUCGCUAUGUUGCCCAGGCUGGUCUUGAACUCCUGGACUCAAGUGAUCCUCCCACCUCAGCCUCCCAAAGUGCUGGUAUUACCGGCAUGAGCUACCACACCUGGCUGUCUCUAACCAGUUUUAAGUGUACAAUUCAGUAGUGUUAAGUAUAUUCACACUGUUGUAAAACAAAUUUCCAGAACUUUUUCAUCUUCCCAAAUUGAAACUCUGUACCUAUUAAACACUAAUUCCCCAUUCUCUCCUCCCAGCCCAUGGUAACCACCCUUCUACUUUCUGUCUUUAUGAAUCUGACCACUCUAAGUACCUCAUAUGAGAGGAAUCACACAGUAUUUGUCCUUUGGUGACUGGCUUAUUUCACUUAGCAUAAUGCCCUCAAGGGUUCUCCAUGUUGUAACAUGCGUCAGAAAUUCAUUCAAGGCUGAAUAAUAUAUCCGUUAUAUAGAUCAAUCACAUUUGAGUUAUCCAUUCAUCAGUUAAUGCACAUGUAGGUUAUUUCCACCUUUUGGUCAUUGAGAAUAAUGCUGCUGUAUACAUACGUGUAUGCGUUUCUGCAUGACUAUUUGUUUGCAAUUCUUUUGACUAUGUAUGUCUCGGCUCACUGCAACCUCCGCUUCCCGGGUUCAAGCGAUUCUCCUGCCUCAGCCUCUCGAGUAGCUGGGAUUAGAGGCACCUGCCACCACACCCGGCUAAUCUUUGUAUUAUUAGUAGAGACGGGGUUUCACCAUGUUGGCCAGGCUGGUCUCAAACUCCUGACCUCAGGUGAUCCACCCACCUCAGCCUCCCAAAGUGCUGGGAUUAGAAGUAUGAGCCACCACACCUGGCCAUGAAUUUGGUCCAGUGUCUGAACUUCACCUCUAGAGUCCCUUCCAGCCUCCUACCUCACUCCCACCUUGGCCUCCUGAGUAGCUGGGACAACAGGCUUGCGCCACCAUUAACCAGCUCAUUAAAAAAAAGUUUUUUUCUUUGUAAAUAUGGGGUCUCCCCAUGUUUCCCAGACUCCAAACCUAUUUCCUAACCUUUAUCAUUAUCUGCUUCUGUGGGAUGUGAAUGGAAGCGAGGUGUGCUACAUUCAGGCUUUUAACACCUCCCACCUGCACCUUCUAAUUCUUCCUUUGCAUCUUCUGGCUGGACAAAGAGGGUCUUGUGGGGCCUCUGAGUCACUGGAAGAAGGUGAAGCCACAAUAUAGCUGGAGUCUGGUUCCCAGGUGCAGCAGUGUGAUGUGAGUGAGAAAGUAGCCUUUAGUGCAUUAAGCCACUGGGAUCUACAGGUUGCUCGUAGAUCAACCACGUCUACAGACGUGGGGGCACCACCAUGCUCAGCUAAUUUGUUAUAUGUUUAUGUAGAGAUGGGGUCUUGCUAUGUUGCCCAGGCUGGUCUCAAACUUCUGGGCUUAUGUGAUCCUCCCAUCUCAGCCUCCCAAGUAGCUGGGACUGCAGGCUCAUGCUACCAUACCCAGCUAAUUUUUAAUAUUUUUUUCUGUAGAGAUGGAGUCUUGCUAUAUUGCCCAGGCCAGUCUCGAACUCUUGGGCUCAAGCAAUCCUCCCGUCUCAGCCUCCCAAAGUGCUGGGAUUAUAGGUGCGAGCCACCACGCCCAACCAGUUGCUUAAUUCUUACAACAGCCCUCGGAGGUAGGUUCCAUUGUUAGCCCCAAUCUUAUUUAUUUAGAUGGAGUCUCACUCUGUUGUCCAGGCUGGAGUGCAGUGGCAUGAUCCCAGCUCACUGCAACCUUCGCCUCCUGGGUUCAAGUGAUUCUCUUGCCUCUGCCUCCUGAGUAGCUGGGAUAACAGGCACAGGCCACCAUGACUGGCUCAUUUUUUUUUUUUUUUUUUUGUAUUUUUAGUAAAGACAGGGUUUCAUCACGUUGGCCAGGUUGAUUUUGAAUUCCUGACCUCAAAUGAUCUGCCCACCUCGGCCUCCCAUAGCCCCAAUCUUUAAAUGAGGAAAUUGAGGUGCAGAGAGGGUCGGCCACUUGCCAAAUGGGAAAAGCUAGAAUUCUAACCCAGACCAUUUGCCUUCAAAACCUACCCUGACCACCACAGUAACCUGUGAUAAGGUGCAACUCAGAGUAAAUAACCUCCUCUCUGGGCCCUGAUGUCUCUCUACCUACAAUGGAUUUCCUGUUCCUGUGUGGGGAGGGAGGUGCAACACCAGCCCCCGAGCUUUGAGCCUUGCCUCGUCCUCCCUGUAUAUUAAGGAGUGCUCAGAUGUGGCUGUAGCUGCACCUCUUUCUCCAAGAUGGAGCCCACCCAGAGAUGCUGUGUGCAAAAGGCUUGACUCAUAGCCGGCGCAUAAUAUGCCUUCAAUAAAUGUUUGAAAUUAUUAUUCUCGAUGGUGUCACGGUGCUGGCUGAAAGGCAGCAUAGCUCAGCAGUUAAGCCAGACGGUCCGGGUUCAAAUCCCAUCUCUACCAUGUAAUAGCUGUGUGACCUUGGGUAAGUUACUCAACCUCUCUGUUCCCCCAUCUAUAAAAUGGGGGAAAUGACACUAUCUAUUUUAUAGAGCUAUUGCAAGGAUUAGCAUAGAAAAUGCCUCAACCGUGCCUGCCACUGAUGUCAGGUUUUAUUAUUGCUGUAACACUUUCCCCUAUUCAGAGUUUCAUCUCCUAGAUCCCCGGGCACGGCAACAGCUGGCUUUCAGAUCAGGGCCUCCCUGGGAGGUUUUAGUCUCAGCACAAGUCACCUGCCUUCCCCCUCUCUGGCUCCCAGCAGCCCCAUCCUUCCCCCAGUCUUGGCCCGGGUUCCAGCACCGUCUCCUCCCCUCCCCUUUGCCCCUCAGCCCCAGGGUGACCAAAGCCUCUGCCUCGUGGGACGGCUUUCUAGCACUUUCCUCCUUUUAAGAGAUUGACUGCAAUUUCUAUAGUAACAUCACAUUAGCCAGAAAUUAAUGUCCUCAUUAAGAUAGCAAUUAGGCACAUUAGCGUGGCAAUAAAAGAGAAGCUUAUGAAAUAACUGCUGGUUCCAAAAUGCCUUUUAAUUUAGUAUUUUAUAUUGUGCCAUGUUAUUAAUUUUUUUCCCUCGGCAGAAGAUAAUAAGAGAAAUGUUUGAAUUGUGGGGAGGUUUAAAAUAAAAAAAAUUUUUGAGAAGGAAAGCAAUGUUGAUACCUGUAGACAGACGAUCUGUCUUCUCCCCAAAACCCCAUUGGUCCUGAGUCCAUAGGGUGACUCCAUGGGGUGUCAGAAGAGGGACAGCAUUGAUGGGUAGGGGGCCAGGCCAUGUCCUGGGACUUUUGGCCAGGCUUGGCAUCCAGCGGAGAUUGGAGUGGAACAGCCUUUGAUCCUAGAAGCAGGAGAAAUGGUGCCAUGUUUCUUUGCCCUAAACAACGAAUACCUGUUGGUUUGGGAUUUUCCCCCAAUAGGCUCCAUCUCCUGAAUUCAAAUUCUUUCAGCAAAUGUUUCCUUGGUACCCUGUGGCUCUGACUCUGCUGUUGAGGGCUUUCCAGAUUGUUGGAGACGACAGAUGUAUAAAUGGGAAAAUGCCAUGAUAAACUGGGAAUGCAGUAUUUUGCAACUUGUAAUGAAAUCAUGGCUCUAGGCCGGGCACCGCGGCUCACGCCUGUAAUCCCAGAACUUUGGGAGGGCAAGGUGGGAGGAUCGCUUGAGGCCAGGAGUUCGAGAUCAGUCUGGGAAACAUAAUGAGACCCCCCCGCAACCCCGUCUCUUAAAGAAAAAGAAAAGAAAGAAAGAAAUCAUGGAUCUAGGACAUGAUUAGCCAUGGAUAGUAAAAUCAUUAGGGGAAAGGUGGAUGAGGAAUGGUUUUGUGUGGCCAGGCACAGUGGCUCACACCUGUAAUUCCAGCACUUUGGGAGGCUCAGGCAGGCGGAUCACCCGAGGUCAAGAGUUCGAGACUAGCCUGGCCAACAUGGUGAAACCCCAUCUCUACUAAAAAUACAAAAAUUAGCCCGCUGUGGUGGCAGGUGCCUGUAAUUCCAACUACUCGAGAGGCUGAGGCAGGAGAAUUGCUGGAACCUGGGAGGCAGGGGUUGCAGUGAGUCAAGAUCGCGCCACUGCACUCCAGCCUGGGUGACAGAACAAGACUCUGUCUCAAAAAAAAAAAAAAAAAAAGAAAAAAAAGAAAAGAAAAAAAAGAAAAGGAAAAAAAGGAAUGUUUUAGGGGAGGCCUGUUCUGCUCCCAUCUGAGCCCUGGGUCAAAUUUAGCGUCCUAGGCUGGACAUGAUGUGGCUCCCAUUGGGAGCAGUAGUAGUAGGUUGGUGAGGGCCUGGAAGGAGACGUAUCUCCCUGAGUUAAGGAGGGCACCUCAAAGGAUCAGGCACAUGAACAGAGACCUGAAGGAGGAAAAGCGGAGGAUACACAUAGAGAUCUGGGGGAAGAAGGUUCCAGACAGGAGGAACAGCGGGUGCCAAGACUCUGGGGUGGGAACUAGCAUGGAGAAGUAGAGAUCAGCUAGGAGGCUGAUGUGGCUGGACGGAAGUGAGAGAGAGAGGAGAGGAGGUGCAAUGAGAGAUAUACCAAGGAAAGAAAACAUGGGGCGCUGGGCACGGUGGCUCACGCUUGUAAUCCCAGCACUUUGGGAGGCCAAGGCGGGCGGAUCACCCGAGGUCAGGAGUUAGAGACCAGCCCGGCCAACACGGUGGAACACCGUCUCUAUUAAAAAUACAAAAAUUAGUGGGUCAUGGUGGUACAUGUAAUCCCAGCUACUCGGGAGGCUGAGGCAGGAGAAACGCUUGAGCCUGGGAGGCAGAGGCUGCAGUGAGCCGAGAUCGCGCCACUGCAAUCCAGCCUGGGCAACAAAGCGAGACUCCGUCUCAAAAAAAAAAAAAAAGAAAGAAAAAAGAAAGAAAGAAAGAAAAAGGAAAAAUGGGGAAUUUCAUUGGAAGGCCAUGCCAAAACACAAACAAAAAAGAAACAAAUAAAGGAAAAAUGGGGAAGGAUUCCUCAGGAAGUUAAAGAGUUGACAAUCAAUUUCAGGGACCCCGGGAUUUGAGUCUAGCUCCUUCGUGGGCAAGGGGACGUGCUGACCAAUGCACACCUGUGCCUGCCAGGCUCCUUGUCAGUUACCUGUUGCCAGUUAAGCUGUCUAACAAAGGCCAGGCACAGUGGCUCAUGCCUGUAAUCCCAGCACUUUGAGAGGCCAGGCAGGUGGAUCACUUGAGGCCACAAGUUUGAGACCAACCUGGCCAACAUGGCAAAACCUCGUCUCUACUAAAAAUACAAAAAUUAGUCAGUCGUGGUGGCGGGUGUCUGUAAUCCCACCUACUCGGGAGGCCGAGGCAGGAGAAUCGCUUGAACCCGGGAGGGAGGCAGAGGUUGCAGUGAGCCAAGAUUGCACCACUGCAUUCCAGCCUGGGCCACAAAGUGAGACUGAGACAAAAAAAAAAAAAAAAAAAAAAAAAAAGCUGCCUAACAACGCCCAAAUCCAGCAGCUUAGGACAAUCAGCAUUAAUUUUGGCUUCGCAGGCUACAGGGCAGUUUUUCUGCUCCUGGCUGGGCUCACCCACCAGCGUCUAUGGGUCCAAGAGUCACACUGUAUUUAUUCAGGCUGGGUCUUUUCGUAUAUUUGGGCCCGGCUGGCUAUAGGCUGGUCUAGGACAACAGGAUUCUUCCCUCAUCCUCCAGCAGGCUAGCUCGGGCUUGGUCACCUGACAGGGGCAGGGUUUCCAGACGUCGACCAGAAAGAUGCACCACCUCUUCAGGCCUAGAUUGGGAAGUGACUUCACUU